UGGGGAAUAUUGCACAAUGGGGGAAACCCUGAUGCAGCGACGCCGCGUGAACGAAGAAGGUAUUCGUAUCGUAAAGUUCUGUCCUAUGGGAAAAUAAUGACAGUACCAUAGAAGAAAGCUCCGGCUAAAUACGUGCCAGCAGCCGCGGUAAUACGUAUGGAGCGAGCGUUGUCCGGAAUUAUUGGGCGUAAAGGGUACGCAGGCGGUUUAAUAAGUCGAAUGUUAAAGAUCGGGGCUCAACCCCGCAAAGCAUUGGAAACUGAUAAACUUGAGUAGUGGAGAGGAAAGUGGAAUUCCUAGUGUAGUGGUGAAAUACGUAGAUAUUAGGAGGAAUACCAGUAGCGAAGGCGACUUUCUGGACACAAACUGACGCUGAGGUACGAAAGCGUGGGGAGCAAACAGG
rnacentral:rRNA from 1 species